AUGACGUCAAGUCAGCACGGCCCUUACGUCCUGGGCCCACACACGUGCUACAAUGGCAGUGACAAUGGGCUGCAACCACGCGAGUGGAAGCUAAUCUCAAAAACUGUCUCAGUUCGGAUUGCACCCUGCAACUCGGGUGCAUGAAGCUGGAAUCGCUAGUAAUCGCAUAUCAGCAGGAUGCGGUGAAUACGUUCCCGGGUCUU
rnacentral:rRNA from 1 species